AAAAUACUAUUAUUAAAAUUACUCAUUCUAUUCUCUUCAUUAUUUUUUUAACUCUCUUUCUCUUUCUUUUCUUCUAAUAAAUUUUAUUCAGCCUUUAUUACAACAAUGGAAAAAUUUUAAGAGUUCACAUAAUAGUUAUUCUCUUCCAAACCUCUGUGUCCCUUUUAAACUAAACUUUACUCAAAUCCCACACACAAUUUGCUAAACUUUCUAAUGUACCUUGAUAUUCUCGUUCUUAACGAAUAUAAUUCUUUCUUCAGAAAAAAACAUGAAUUUUGUCGGAUCAAUUCCACAUACAUCUAACAAAGCAAUUUAAAAGGAAGACUAUAAAUUACCAAUCUCAUAACUAUUUAUAUUAUGAUUGUAUUAUUUUAAUCAAACUUUUAAGAUUACUAAUUUUGAAUAAAAAAUCACUGCUUAAUAAUAUCUUUAUUAAACUCAAUCAAAUAAAAUAUAAUAUAAUCUUAUAUUUUAAUUCAAAAUUAUAUCUCUUAUCCCCCUAAAAUGAUAGUAUAUCAUGAAAAAGGAUGAGGUGAAUAGUAAAUCUCUCUCUCUAUAUAAAAGAAGAUAAUAGACAUGUUGAUGUGGCACAUUUUAGAAGCAAGGAAAUUUAUUUAUCUUUUUUCUCAAUUUUUUGGAGUGUUAAUCCUUAUUUUGCUUUUAUUAAUUUUAAUAAUUGAUUUAUUUUAAGAAGUUCAGAAGUCAAUUAUUUUAAUAACUAGCAUUUAAGCCAGAAAACAGGUGAACCGGUACUCUAAUAUUAAUUACUGCACAUACUAUAAACACGCUUAAUCUUUUUUCAUUCUUCAGUUUUCAUCCAAUUUUUCCUUUUCUUCCUUUUCCAUUCUUCUUUCUAAUUUUCUUUCUUUUAUGUAAAUAUUUGUGUUUUUGAUAUUUUUUCUUUGUAAUUUUUUUCUCAUAAUAUAUCUGAUUUUAUUAAUUUUAGUUUCGUUGAUUUGCAUAUUUGCAGGUUGUAGGAUCUGUAAACUGGUUGGUUUGGAUCAUUUUAUUUUUGAAAUAAUUAUUAAAGUUGUUGUUUUGUAAGUAAAUCUUUUCAAGUUCUUUAAGGUUUGUUGAUUUACAGAUUUGCAGGUUGCAGGAUUUGUAAACUGAUUGUUUUGGAUCAUUUUAUUUUUGGGAUAAUUGUUAAAGUUGUUGUUUUGUAAGUAAAUCUUUUCAAGUUCAUUACGAGGAAUAAUAAUUGUUGCAUCACUCAUUACUUUUUGGAAGGACAAACUUGCUUCUUCUUUUUAUGUUGUCACUCUUCAAAAAAUUGUAUCACUUUAGUGAUUAAGCUUAUCCUACAAUCUAGAAAUGUGACAAAUAAGUAGCAAGGCUUCCAAUCAUAUUUUAUAAUUUGAAGUUGAUUUUGUUAAACUAUGAUUUCACACAAACAAUGCUUGCAAGCUCUUCAAUUAUGUUAUUGUUACAGGAGAGAACUGUCAGGCACGAUACUGCAGAGAAUGAUAAGAGUUUAUGCUCGUGCAAUUUUGUAAACCUCUUCUGUUGCAUUCAUAGUCUUGGCAGCAAGAAUCCAUCCAAUGGCACCGAAGAUGUCCUUUUAGAACAAGUUUUGGUUGUAGUAUGUAAUGUCAAAAAGAAACCAUGUGCUGGUUGUGCCAAGCAAGUGAAAUCCAUGCCGAUUAAGAAAUCGUUUCGUGAACAAAUCAAAUUCAUUGCUGAACUUUACAUCAAUAUUAUUUAUAUGAUAUGAUGAGAGAAUUAUUUAAAUAAAUUAUUACCGCGCAAAGCGCGAUCAAAUUCACUAGUAUAUUAGUAAAGAACUCAUGCUGAAAAAAAAAAAAAGAUAAAAAAAAUAGGGGCUAAUUAAACCCAAGUGGAAUGCUUUAUUGAAUUAAUAACAUUUGCCUUUGAAACCCUUGGGCUAAUAGCUUUAGGAUAUGUUGUAACACCUUCUGGUAAUAUUCUCGGAUUACCUCUAAGAUAAGGUCUUUUCGGUAUUAUCGAAUUAGUAUUUCUAGAAAUUGGGCUAACGGCAAGACUAACAACAUGACUUAUAGAGGGUGCUGGGCUAAUAGCUUUAUGAAAUGUAACACCCUGUGGUGAUUGUCCAUGAUUAUUACGAUCUCUGAUUAGAUAAGGACUUUGAAACAUGAUCGCGUGUUUCUUCAAAAUUUCAAAGUAAGGUUUAGAAGUAACAUCGCCAAUUAAAUGGUCAACGUCAUCUUUAGAGUGCUUUUCCUUAAACCCUUUGCUUUUAUGAAAUGGAAUUCCUCGUGGUAAUAUCCCAGGAUUACGUCUAAGAUAAGGUCUUUUCGGUAGUACUAUAGAAUUUUUCUUCAAAUCUCUCGAAUCAGUACUAGACCUCUUGCUAACGGCAGGACUAAUAGCAGGACUCUCAGAAAGUUGUGGGCUAAUAGCUUUAUGAAACGUAACACUUCUUUGUAAUUGUCCAGGAUUACGACCUCUAAGAUAAGGCCUCUCAUGAAGCAUGAUCGCGUGUUUCCUCAAAUUUUCAAAGUGAGGCUCAUCACCAAUUACAUAGCCAAAGUUGUUUACCGAAUGAUUUUCGAUAAACUCUUGGCUUUUAUGAAACGGAAUUUCUUGUGGCAAUAUUCCAAAAUUACCUAUAAUAUAAGGCCUUUCGGAAAUUUUUAUAAAUUCCGAUCGUACUAAAAUAGUUCUGCAUGUUAUUAUAAAGAAGAUGAGAGGGGAAAUGGAGAUUUUUUGCACCAUUUUUGCUAUAAAAAAAAAAAGUAAUGGAAAAUUAACAAGGGGAGAA
rnacentral:lncRNA from 1 species